AUUGAACGCUGGCGGCAGGCCUAACACAUGCAAGUCGAGCGGAGCGGCGGACGGGUGCGUAAUGCCUAGGAAUCUGCCUGGUCCUGGGGGAUCACGUCCGGAAACGGGCGCUAAUACCGCAUCCUCUCAGAUGAGCCUAGGGCGGCUUGGCUAGUUGGUGGGGUAAAGGCCUACCACAGCGACGAUCCGUAACUGGUCUGAGAGGAGGAUCAGUCACACGGGAACUGAGAAACGGUCCAGACUCCUAAGGGAGGCAGCAGUGGGGAAUAUGGGACAAUGGGCGAAAGCCUGAUCCAGCAAUGCCGCGUGUGUGAAGAAGGUCUUUGGAUUGUAAAGCACUUUAAGUUGGGAGGCGUUACCAACAGAAUAAGCACCGGCUAACUUCGUGCCAGCAGCCGCGGUAAUUC
rnacentral:rRNA from 1 species